UGAUUUUUUAAAAGUGUACAUAGGCAGAUGC
rnacentral:piRNA from 1 species